AGGGGAUGUAGCUCAGAUGGUAGA
rnacentral:ncRNA from 2 species